GACCGGCCACACUGGGACUGAGACACGGCCCAGACUCCUACGGGAGGCAGCAGUGGGGAAUAUUGCACAAUGGGCGGAAGCCUGAUGCAGCAACGCCGCGUGAGGGAUGACGGCCUUCGGGUUGUAAACCUCUUUUAGCAGGGAAGAAGCGUGAGUGACGGUACCUGCAGAAAAAGCGCCGGCUAACUACGUGCCAGCAGCCGCGGUAAUACGUAGGGCGCAAGCGUUAUCCGGAAUUAUUGGGCGUAAAGAGCUCGUAGGCGGUUUGUCGCGUCUGCUGUGAAAUCCCGAGGCUCAACCUCGGGCCUGCAGUGGGUACGGGCAGACUAGAGUGCGGUAGGGGAGAUUGGAAUUCCUGGUGUAGCGGUGGAAUGCGCAGAUAUCAGGAGGAACACCGAUGGCGAAGGCAGAUCUCUGGGCCGUAACUGACGCUGAGGAGCGAAAGGGUGGGGAGCAAACAGGCUUAGAUACCCUGGUAGUCCACCCCGUAAACGUUGGGAACUAGUUGUGGGGUCCUUUCCACGGAUUCCGUGACGCAGCUAACGCAUUAAGUUCCCCGCCUGGGGAGUACGGCCGCAAGGCUAAAACUCAAAGGAAUUGACGGGGACCCGCACAAGCGGCGGAGCAUGCGGAUUAAUUCGAUGCAACGCGAAGAACCUUACCAAGGCUUGACAUACACGAGAACGGGCCAGAAAUGGUCAACUCUUUGGACACUCGUGAACAGGUGGUGCAUGGUUGUCGUCAGCUCGUGUCGUGAGAUGUUGGGUUAAGUCCCGCAACGAGCGCAACCCUCGUUCUAUGUUGCCAGCACGUUAUGGUGGGAACUCAUGGGAUACUGCCGGGGUCAACUCGGAGGAAGGUGGGGAUGACGUCAAAUCAUCAUGCCCCUUAUGUCUUGGGCUUCACGCAUGCUACAAUGGCCGGUACAAAGGGCUGCAAUACCGUGAGGUGGAGCGAAUCCCAAAAAGCCGGUCCCAGUUCGGAUUGAGGUCUGCAACUCGACCUCAUGAAGUCGGAGUCGCUAGUAAUCGCAGAUCAGCAACGCUGCGGUGAAUACGUUCCCGGGUCUUGUACACACCGCCCGUCAAGUCAUGAAAGUCGGUAACACCUGAAGCCGGUGGCCUAACCCUUGUGGAGGGAGCCGUCGAAGGUGGGAUCGGUAAUUAGGACUAAGUCGUAACAAGGU
rnacentral:rRNA from 1 species